AUUUCGAUGACCUUACAACGCUUUCACUGCACCACUCCUUGAGGAAAACCAGUAGCCAACAACUUUUAUAGUUCUAGAACGAAAAGGAGAAAAGUAGAGGAAAAAUAGAAAAGAAAAUCAGCAACUAGAGGAGAACAAACCGAAAAGAAAAAGAUAAGGGAGAACAAAAAACAAUAUUCAGCCAAGAGAAAAGAAGAAAGAAAACGAUAUUCGGCUACAAAAGAAAAAAAAGAACCAAAGGCUAUACGGCCAAAACGAAAAGGGCAAAAAAGGAAAAAGCAGAGACAAUACGAACAAACCCGAGUAUACUUUGAAGUCUUUGUAAGACUCAGCACCAAAAUAAAGAGGAGAAAACAAGACUGCUCACCCACACUGAAGCAAACAGGGAGAAAAAUAACACAAAGAAGAAACCAACAAUCCCAGAAAAGACGAAUAUGACCCUAAAACUCCCCCUAGUCGAAUUUCCCAGACUCAAAACUCCCCCAAACGACACAUUAUCCCCCUCCUAAUCAAAUUCCUUGAUUUCCUCCUAA
rnacentral:lncRNA from 1 species